rnacentral:rRNA from 1 species
GACGAACGCUGGCGGCGUGCUUAACACAUGCAAGUCGAACGGAAAGGCCCUGCUUGCAGGGUGCUCGAGUGGCGAACGGGUGAGUAACACGUGGGUGAUCUGCCCCUUACUUUGGGAUAAGCCUGGGAAACUGGGUCUAAUACUGGAUAGGACCAUGCUGUAGGUGGUGUGGUGGAAAGAUUAGUUUCGGUAAGGGAUGAGCUCGCGGCCUAUCAGCUUGUUGGUGGGGUAAUGGCCUACCAAGGCGUCGACGGGUAGCCGGCCUGAGAGGGUGGACGGCCACAUUGGGACUGAGAUACGGCCCAGACGCCUACGGGAGGCAGCAGUGGGGAAUAUUGCACAAUGGGCGCAAGCCUGAUGCAGCGACGCCGCGUGGGGGAUGACGGCCUUCGGGUUGUAAACUCCUUUCAGCCAUGACGAAGCCCUUGUGGUGACCGUAGUGGUAGAAGAAGCACCGGCUAACUACGUG